rnacentral:tRNA from 1 species
GUGCCUGUUAGCUCAAUGGUUAGAGUGCUGGCCCCAUGUACCAGGGGUGGCUGGUUUGAACCCAGCCAGGGCCG